ACUAAUGAAGGAAGAGAGCUCUUAAAUGAUUAAUUCAUUCUUAAAUGCACAGCUGUGGUGACCUCUGAAAGGAUACAUUCCUUUUUAAGACUACCUUCUCAAAACAAAGUCAUUAUUAUGUAGCCUCAGGACUGUAGUCACUCUUCUUCAGUUCACAGAUUCUGGCUGAUGAUGUCAUGACACAGAAGAAAAUGCAAAACAGGCAGCCUUACAUCAGCUUCCUGGUGAGCAUCACACUUGUGGCUGAGGCCUGAGACCAGCUGCGUUUUGGCCAUGGCUUUGCAGAGCGUUCUGGAAGCACUGUGGCUGGAGCUCCUCCUCAGCUCUCUCUGGAAUGUUGCAGAGAGCAAGGACCGAGUAUUUCAGCCUUCCACUGUGGUCUCUUCGGAGGGUGCUCUGGCAGAAAUCUCCUGUAAUCACUCUUUAUCCAAUGCUUACGACUUCUUCUGGUACCUUCACUUCCCUGGAUGUGCACCAAGACUCCUUGUUAAGGGCUCAAGGCCUUCUCAGCAGGGACGGUACAACAUGACAUAUGAGCGGUUCUCUUCAUCACUGCUUAUCCUCCAGGUGCAGAUGGCAGAUGCAGCCAUUUACUACUGUGCUCUGGAGGACACAGAGGCAGGAAAUCCAUGAAGAGCUGAACAGAAACAAGGAGAGAUCACAGCCUUUGCAGGAGGUGGAAAAAAGAUGAGCAAUAACUGUUCACCUCACCACCCCCAAUUCAACGUUCUCCAAGCUUUUCCAUUUGGCACUAUCAGAAAAAACAUUUGAGUCCAGACACACUAUAUAUUAGUAAAGGUACAUAGGGAAAUAUGUUUUUAAAGAGUGUUUCAUUAAUGGUCUAUAAAUUCAUGUUUUAAAUAGUUUACUUUUUUAAAAGAUAAAUUUAUUUAUUUUAUUAUUUUAUUUAUUGUUUCUGGCUG